AAAUUUGAAAUCUGGUAGCCUUCGGCUGCCCGAGUUGUAAUCUAGAGAAGUGUUUUCCGUGCCGGCCCAUGUACAAGUCCCUUGGAACAGGGCGUCAUAGAGGGUGAGAAUCCCGUCCUUGACAUGGACCCCCGGUGCUUUGUGAUACACUUUCAACGAGUCGAGUUGUUUGGGAAUGCAGCUCAAAAUGGGUGGUGAAUUCCAUCUAAAGCUAAAUAUUGGCGAGAGACCGAUAGCGAACAAGUACCGUGAGGGAAAGAUGAAAAGCACUUUGGAAAGAGAGUUAAACAGUACGUGAAAUUGUUGAAAGGGAAACGAUUGAAGUCAGUCAUGCUCUUUGGAUUCAGCCGUUCUGCGGUGUAUUUCCAUUGAGUGGGGUCAACAUCAGUUUUGACCGCUGGAUAAAGGCACUAGGAAGGUAGCACUCUCGGGUGAACUUAUAGCCUAGCGUCAUAUACAGUGGUUGGGACUGAGGAACGCAGCAUGCCUUUAUGGCCGGGAUUCGUCCACGUACAUGCUUAGGAUGUUGACAUAAUGGCUUUAAACGACCCGUCUU
rnacentral:rRNA from 1 species